rnacentral:lncRNA from 1 species
AAGGGCAACUCUUCUACUCUCGGACUGCUGGUCAAUGAGCCAAGCCCUUGAACCUCUUCUGGGCUGUUAGAGUAUUUCAUGGAUAUCAAAAUCUCCUGCGUCAGGCUCACAGAGCAGAAGCCGUGACCGAAGGCUCACCCAUACCAGCUACACAGGCUGUGGGAGCAUUGAAGACAUGCUUGCUAUCAUCCAGCUAGGCUAAUCCAUUUUAUAAAGUCCCAAGGACUGGCUCCUGGUUGCUAAGUGAUUUAGACACAGCCUUUCCCUGCACUUUUAAAACAUUUCCUGAAAGUCUUCAUUGGCCAUGGCAUGACUCUGCUAGCUGUGCUGUGCUCCCAGUACUUAGGAGCUGUGCUCCCAGUACUUUUAGGAGUACUGUCUGUCUUGAGACCAGGUGGUCCCUUGUAGAACUGGGAUGGGACCUGAUGUUGUGUUGGUCUCAUAACUGGACAUGUGGGAAUACUUUUUAACUCCCCUUAGAAAGAACUUAUCAAUAAGGCAAUAAACUUAUCAAUAAACUUGUUUGUUUACAUAA